rnacentral:misc_RNA from 1 species
GUCGUAACAAGGUAGCCGUAGGGGAACCUGCGGUUGGAUCACCUCCUUACCUGAAGAUACCUUCCCGCGUAGUGCUCACACAGAUUGUCUGAUAGAAAGUAACGAGCAAGACGGCUGCGAAGUCGUGACACGAAUCGUGUCCCCUUCGUCUAGAGGCCUAGGACACCGCCCUUUCACGGCGGUAACAGGGGUUCGAAUCCCCUAGGGGACGCCACUUGCUUGGUGACAGGUGAAAGGUGUCUCCACGAAGUAUCUCAAACGAAGCUUACGAGCUGCGUCUGAGAUAUUGCUCUUUAACAAUCCGGAACAAGCUGAAAAUUGAAACGACGUGUUGGUUCAUUUCUCCGUAAUAAGAAAUGAAUAACGACACGUUCGAGUCUCUCAAUGCCUGCAGUCCCAAGCGUUGCAAAACGCCUGUGGGUUGUGAGGUUAAGCGACUAAGCGUACACGGUGGAUGCCUUGGC